CUUCACGAUCUGCUUACUAAAAUUACCAGGUCACUUUACAAAAGCCUAGUGCACAACCUACCUAUAAAGAGUAGGUGUUAUUUAUGUACCUACUACACAGAUUACUCGACUGAAUCUUAUUAUGAUAUAGAAUUUUAUGUUUGCCGUGGUCUGGAUGUUUGUGCAGUCCUUGUGAGUCCCACCGUGCCUCGGAGAGCACGUUAAGCCGUCGGUCCUGGUUGUUAUCAUGUACACCUGAUAGCAAUCGUUACUCAUAGUAGGGAAUAUAUUCACCAACCCGCGUUGGAGCGGCGUGGUGGAUUUAAGCGCUGAUCCUUCUCCUACAUGGGUAAAGAAGCGUAUG
rnacentral:misc_RNA from 1 species